rnacentral:rRNA from 1 species
CCUACGGGUGGCUGCAGUGAGGAAUAUUGGUCAAUGGCCGGAAGGCUGAACCAGCCAAGCCGCGUGAGGGAGGAAGCCCCAUAGCGUCGCAGACCUCUUUUGCCGGGGGACAAAAGGCCGGCCUCGUCCGGUCCUGAGGGUACCCGGAGAAAAAGCAUCGGCUAACUCCGUGCCGGCAGCCGCGGUAAUCCGGGGGAUGCGAGCGUUAUCCGGUUUCAUUGGGUUUAAAGGGGGCGCAGGCGGGCGUUUAAGCCGGCGGUAAAAUCGCGGGGCUCAACCGCGCCGAGCCGUCGGAACUGGGGGGCUUGAGUGCGGAGGAGGCAGGCGGAAUGCGCGGUGUAGCGGUGAAAUGCAUAGAUAUCGCGCAGAACCCCGAUUGCGAAGGCAGCGUGCCGUGCCGCGACUGACGCUGAGGCACGAAAGCGCGGGGAUCGAACAGGAUUAGAUACCCUAGUAGUC